rnacentral:sRNA from 1 species
AGCGGAAUUCGUGAGACCAUUGGCAACUACAACGUGGGAGAGGGGAAGGAAUCGAAACCAACCACACAAACAAAAAUCCUAGAGAAUCUACAGAGCAAGUCAAAACAUGAGAAUAAUACAGGUUUUUCUUUAGUCAUUGCUCUCAGAGUCCUUUCGCCCGCUAAAAUUGCAGUCCACCUCACCUCCCUAGGAUGCCCUCCAAAACUGUGCUGAACUCUGAACCUGAUUUGGGGGGAGCUCAUUCUAAUCCGGUCCUACUCCUAUAUGUUUUUUGUCUCCAAUGUUCACAACUAUCAGAACCAGGACGUUUCCUUUUGUGGCAGUUAUCAGUGUCUUUUUAUAUAUUAUUCAGUUCAGUUCAGUCGCUCAGU